UACGAGUGCCUCAAGCGUUAUCCGGAAUCAUUGGGCGUAAAGGUUGUGUAGGUGGUUGUAUUAGUCUUCUGUUAAAUUCUUCGGCUUAACCGGGGGCAUGCAGGGGAAACGGUACAACUCGAGGAUGCGAGGGGUCUGCGGAACUCAUAGUGUAGCGGUGAAAUGCGUUGAUAUUAUGGGGAACACCCGUGACUAAGGCGGCUCUCUAGUACGGUACUGACGCUGAGACGCGAAAGCGUGGGGAGCGAACAGG
rnacentral:rRNA from 1 species